CCUGGUUGAUCUUGCCAGUAGUCAUAUGCUUGUCUCAAAGAUUAAGCCAUGCAAGUGAAAGUAUAUAUAUAUAUUUUAUAUGUAGAAACUGCGAACGGCUCAUUAAAACAGUUAUAGUCUACUUGACAUUUUUAUUAUAAGGAUAACUACGGAAAAGCUGUAGCUAAUACUUGCUUUAUUAUCCUUUGAUUUUUAUCUUUGGAUAAGUAUUUGUUAGGCCUUAUAAGAAAAAAGUUAUUAACUUAAGGAAUUAUAACAAAGAAGUAACACGUAAUAAAUUUAUUUUAUUUAGUGUGUAUCAAUCGAGUUUCUGACCUAUCAGCUUUUGAUGUUAGGGUAUUGACCUAACAUGGCUAUGACGGGUAACGGGGAAUUAGAGUUCGAUUCCGGAGAGGGAGCCUGAGAAAUAGCUACCACAUCUAAGGAAGGCAGCAGGCGCGUAAAUUACCCAAUUCUAAAAAAGAGAGGUAGUGACAAGAAAUAACAAUGCAAGGCCAAUUUUUGGUUUUGUAAUUGGAAUGGUGGGAAUUUAAAACCUUCCCAGAGUAACAAUUGGAGGGCAAGUCUGGUGCCAGCAGCCGCGGUAAUUCCAGCUCCAAUAGCGUAUAUUAAAAUUGUUGCAGUUAAAACGCUCGUAGUUGAAUUUCAAAGAAUCGAUAUUUUAUUGUAACUAUUCUAGGGGAACUAUUUUAGCUUUUCGCUUUAAUACGCUUCCUCUAUUAUUAUGUUCUUUAAAUAACAAAGAUUCUUUUUAAAAUCCCCACUUUGCUUUUGCUUUUUGGGGAUUUUGUUACUUUGAGUAAAUUAGAGUGUUCAAAGCAAACAGUUAAAGCAUUUACUGUGUUUGAAUACUAUAGCAUGGAAUAACAAAAUUGAACAAGCUAAAAUUUUUUGUUCUUUUUUCUUAUUUUGGCUUAGUUACGAUUAAUAGGAGUAGCUUGGGGACAUUCGUAUUCAGAUGUCAGAGGUGAAAUUCUUAGAUUUUCUGGAGACGAACAACUGCGAAAGCAUUUGUCUAAAAUACUUCCAUUAAUCAAGAACGAAAGUUAAGGGAGUGAAGACGAUCAGAUACCGUCGUAAUCUUAACCAUAAACUAUGCCGACUAGGUGUUGGAUGAAAGUGUUAAAAAUAAAAGUCAUCUUUCGAGGUGACUUUUAGAUUGCUUCCUUCAGUACCUUAUGAGAAAUCAAAGUCUUUGGGUUCUGGGGCGAGUAUUCGCGCAAGCGAGAAAGUUAAAAGAAUUGACGGAAGGGCACCACCAGGCGUGGAGCUUGCGGCUUAAUUUGACUCAACACGGGGAAACUCACUAGUUUAAGACAAGAGUAGGAUUGACAGAUUAAUAGCUCUUUCUUGAUUUCUUGGAUGGUGAUGCAUGGCCGUUUUUAGUUCGUGAAUAUGAUUUGUCUGGUUAAUUCCGAUAACGAACGAGAUCUUAACCUGCUAAUUAGCGGCGAGUACACUAUAUUAUUUAUUUGAAAUUGAAUAUAGGUAACUAUACAUAUUUAUUCAGUAAUCAAAUUAGGAUAUUUUUAUUAAAAUAUCCUUUUCCCUGUUCUACUAAUAAUUUGUUUUUUACUCUAUUUCUCUCUUCUUUUAAGAAUGUACUUGCUUGAUUGAAAAAAGCUUCUUAGAGGAACAUUGUGUGUCUAACACAAGGAAGUUUAAGGCAACAACAGGUCUGUGAUGUCCUUAGAUGAACUAGGCUGCACGCGUGCUACACUGAUAUAUAUAACGAGUUUUUAAAAAUAUGCUUAUAUUUGUAUCUUUGAUGCUUAUAUUUUGCAUACUUUUCCUCCGCCGAAAGGUGUAGGUAAUCUUUAUCAAUAUAUAUCGUGAUGGGGAUAGAUUAUUGCAAUUAUUAAUCUUGAACGAGGAAUGCCUAGUAAGCAUGAUUCAUCAGAUUGUGCUGACUACGUCCCUGCCCUUUGUACACACCGCCCGUCGCUCCUACCGAUUGAAAGAUAUGAUAAAUUGUUUGGACAAGAAAAAAAAUAAUGAAAUUAUAUUCUAUUUUUUCUAGAAAAACCGUAAAUCCUAUCUUUUAAAGGAAGGAGAAGUCGUAACAAGGUUUCCGUAGGUGAACCUGCGGAAG
rnacentral:rRNA from 1 species